AAGUCGUAACAAGGUUUCCGUAGGUGAACCUGCGGAAGGAUCAUUACUGAAGCAGUUAGAGUUGUAGCUGGCUCUGUCAAAGGAGUACCGUGCUCGCUCUAUUCUUCUACUUUUCCCCCUGUGCACCUUUUGUAGGCUAUGAUACCUAUCGUGUGUGAGCUCUGUCUCAUUACCGGUUCAAGGGCUUGCGGUUAUCGUUCGUUCGGUUUCUGCUGCUCUUGCCCUUCAUAUGCCUAUGUCUUUAUACACUCUUUAAACAAGUCUAGAAUGUCUUUUUGUGGGUCUAUCGACCUAUAAACUUAAUACAACUUUCAACAACGGAUCUCUUGGCUCUC
rnacentral:misc_RNA from 1 species